rnacentral:rRNA from 1 species
CAAGUCGAACGCGAAAGUCCCCUUCGGGGGACGAGUAGAGUGGCGUCCGGGUGAGUAACACGUAGGUAAUCUACCUUCGGGUGGGGAAUAACGCAGGGAAACUUGCGCUAAUACCGCAUAAUGCAGCGGCACCACAUGGUGACAGUUGUUAAAGCGGGGGAUUUUCGAACCUCGCGCCUGAAGAGGAGCCUGCGGCAGAUUAGCUAGUUGGUAGGGUAACGGCUUACCAAGGCGACGAUCUGUAGCCGGCCUGAGAGGGCGGUCGGCCACACUGACACUGACAUACGGGUCAGACUCCUACGGGAGGCAGCAGUCGGGAAUUUUGGGCAAUGGGCGAAAGCCUGACCCAGCAACGCCGCGUGAAGGAUGAAAUCCUUCGGGAUGUAAACUUCGCAAGAAUAGGAAGAAUGAGCGAGCGCUAACACCGUUCGUGAUGACGGUACUAUUUGUAAGCUCCGGCUAACUCCGUGCCAGCAGCCGCGGUAAUACGGGGGGAGCAAGCGUUGUUCGGAUUUACUGGGCGUAAAGGGCGCGUAGGCGGUCAGCACAAGUCAGUUGUGAAAUCUCCGGGCUUAACUCGGAAAGGUCAACUGAUACUGUGCGACUAGAGUGCAGAAGGGGCAACUGGAAUUCUCGGUGUAGCGGUGAAAUGCGUAGAUAUCGAGAGGAACACCUGCGGCGAAGGCGGGUUGCUGGGCUGACACUGACGCUGAUGCGCGAAAGCCAGGGGAGCGAACGGGAUUAGAUACCCCGGUAGUCCUGGCCUUAAACGAUGGAUGCUUGGUGUCUGGAGUUUUAUAGUCUCCGGGUGCCGUAGCUAACGCGUUAAGCAUCCCCGCCUGGGGGAGUACGGUCGCAAGACUGAAACUCAAAGAAUUGACGGGGACCCGCACAAGCGGUGGAGCAUGUGGUUCAUUCGACGCA